rnacentral:rRNA from 1 species
UACGGAGGUGGCUAGCGUUGUUCGAUAUUACUGGGCGUAGAGCGCACGUAGGCGGCCGGGCAAGUUAGGGGUGAAAUCCUGCGGCUUAACCGUAGAACAGCCUCUAAAACUGCCUGGCUUGAGGGCGGCAGGGGAGAGCGGAACUCUUGGUGGAGCGGUGAAAUGCGUAGAUAUCAGGAGGAACGCCGGUGGCGAAAGCGACUCUCUGGGCCGUUCCUGACGCUGAGUGUGCGAAAGCUAGGGGAGCAAA